CCCUUAGAUGUUCUGGGCUGCACGCGCGCUACACUGAUGCGCUCAACGAGUUUGUAUCCUUGCCUGGCAAGGUCGGGUAAUCUGUUCAAAACGCAUCGUGAUGGGGAUAGAUUAUUGCAAUUAUUAAUCUUCAACGAGGAAUUCCUAGUAAGCGCAAGUCAACAGCUUGCGUUGAUUACGUCCCUGCCCUUUGUACACACCGCCCGUCGCUACUACUGAUUGGAUGUUUAAGCGAGGUUCUCGAACUGCUAGCGACUUAGCUUCGGUGAGGUCGCAGUGUGGGAAGUGAACCUAGCUUUGGUGUCUAGAGGAAGUAAAAGUCGUAACA
rnacentral:rRNA from 1 species